CAAUCUCACUUAUUCCCAACUUCUUCCCUUUUCUUUUACAUUGAGCUNACUUUCAUGCUUUUCUUCUUUUCUUUUCUUUUUAUCAUGCAUUUUUCUUUCUCACAUUUGAGCUCAAUGCUUUACAAUUGCUUUUCUAUUUUCCCCAUACAACCCCAAACUUGAACCUUUUCAUCGCAUACAAUUAAGCUCAUCCCAACUCAAGGUAAAGA
rnacentral:lncRNA from 1 species